GGCUCCGGUGGCCAAGUAGUUAGAGUGUCUGCCUCAGAUGCGGAAGGCCGUGGGUUCGUACUCCGGCCGAGUCC